AGCAUUCCUUUAUUUUCCAUUGGUCCCUCCCCCCCACUGGCCUGGUUUUUGUCAUUCUUCUGUGGCCAGUCCUUUCUUUCUCCCUUCAUAACUUAGAUUUCUCCUCCUUCAUUCCUUCCUGAGUACUUCAUGCUCCCAACAUUUUAGGCCACAAUUUUCCUACCAUUAGUUGUCUUUCACAGCGUUCAUUUACUACUAAUUCCAUGUAGGUGAGUCCCAAAUCCAAUCCCUUUCAUCUUCACUUUCUCCAGCCUAUUCACUAUAGUUUCUGUGCAAUUCAUUCUGAUACCCUGUCUUGAAUUCAGUAGAUUACAAAAUAACUCUCCUCUGCAAAUUCCCUACUUUUGAAUUCUUAUUUUACCUGCAUGGGCUCAAAAAUUAUCCUUUCCUCUCCCUUGUCUUCAUCCAUCAGAGUCCUCAAGUCUUUUCAUUUCAUCCAUGCCACCCUUUGGCUUCCCACUCUUCAUGCUCACUCCUAUUCUAAACCCUCUUCCAGACUCUGCUCCAGACCUUCCCUUCUCCAGGAAAACUUUCCUUGAACCCCUCUGGCAGCUGGUUGAAACCACAGCAUGCGCUUACCACACCACUUUGUCAUUAUUGACAUGAACUUGAGGGACAAGAACUGUGUCUUGCUCAUAUACUCCUAUCCAGUAAGUGUGUACUAUUCAUUAUGUAUGUAAUAUAUGCUUUUUCUUGCCAAAAUUUUGAACUUUAAUCCGUUAUUGAUUGCUUGCAUUUCUGUAUUUUUUCCUAUUAACAAUAUCAGUUAUAGUCAUAGUAGACUUCAGAAUGGGAGAAUAUCCUUAAACCUCUUAAGGAAUAUGUUGCAGUUUCUUCUUAGGUUUGUGGAUUUGGACAGGCCAAAGGAAAAUCAAAGCUUAUGCUUGUAAUGUCCAUACUCUUUAACAGCCAUUGACUAUAACCAUCUCUUUAUUACCCCUACAGAAGGGGGGCCGUAUAGGAAAUUGGAUUGGAUUAGGAGGUGGGCUGGGAUUGUGUUAGGUCCUAUCCUAGAUCAAUAAAAACACUUGUUUUUUCCUGAGCCUCACAAGCACUAGGCAUUUGCUCGACUACUUAAGCAUCAUCCUCAGCCCAGAUGGAUCUUCUUUGACAAGCAUCCAGGUCAUUUUAACAGGAAGCCAGGUUAAGAAUGCUUGACCUCAGUCAAAGCUAAAGGCCUUCCCAGUUCAAACCUUUCAUCAACCUUAAUCCACAUGGAAAUACCUUCUGCGGUGUCUUCAAGACACAAAAUGUUGACAAAAGCCUAAUGAGGCUGGCGUGGGAACAAGUAUGAAUCAUGUAGGUAUAGAGCACUUCUGACUUCAACCUAUUAACAUGGACAGACUCAUAAAAAUAUAACACUCAGCUCAAAAAUCAAAGAAUGCCCCCCAAAUAUGAAAACUACAUUAAGGAGUCAGAAAAUACAGUUCUUUCUAUCAAGAUGUUCUCUGUGAACUUCUUAAGAUACAGAAUAGUCUUCAAGAUAACUCAGAGCCUUGAGAAAAACACACUGGCAAUCCUUUAUCCUCAUUUUCUUCCCAUGCCCUUUUUUUCUUUCUUACCCUCUGAUAUCCCCAGAAAAACAAUAUGGACAUCAGUUACCCUUCUGAAGAAAUGACUAGAAAUUUUAACCAUCAUUUAUCUAGAUCAUCAGGACAAAAUAAUUCUUUGAAAUUUCUGAAAACAGGAUAUUGACAGUCUUUUUAUUAUUAUUUUUUGUUUUCUUUAUUAUAGAGUAAAUAUGAUACAAUGGAUAGCUUUAGAACAAGCUAACAUUUUUUAUGAUCCAGGCAGAUGCAACUGGUGCAGUUCAGUAGUACACAAAUGACUCAAACAAAUGCACUGAAGGCCAGAAACUUAGGUUACAAAAUCUAGUCACUAUCACAAUUAGUACAGCGAGUACAGAUAGUACAUUGCUCUCAGGUUCUGCCUGCUUAAAAAAAAACAAACCAUCAACUUUAUACAAUGACUGAAUUAUACACUUCUACUCAAGUCCUUACAAACAGACAUAAUCCUAAGAAGGUAUGGUCACAUUUUGGUUUCACUCCAGUGGUCGUACACAAUCGUAUGAAAUGUUCCAUCGUUUUUGUGGGAGAUAAACUUUUGGCUGAAAUAAAAUAGCU